rnacentral:lncRNA from 1 species
UUUAUAUCAUCAAAAUAUAUUUCUAUAUUACAAUAUAUAAUUUAAACAGUAAUAAAUGGUAAAAAUAAUUGUUACUGGAAAUGCUUAAUUCUAUUCUGAGACUUAUCACAAUAAAUAGAUUGAUUUUGCUGUAACUUACAAGGAGUUAAUUAACUAUAAUAAACUUGAGUCUGCGUUGAUUACAUGGCAUCUCUAGACAGUAAAACUGUGAUUUUGAAAAUUUCUUUACCAGGGGAAUUUAUCUAAAACUGGCAUAGUAAUGGUACAUAUUUUACUGCACCAGAAGCUGUCAUAUUGAAACUUUUUUUCUACAGAUGCAUUACUCUGCAAUGUUAAAAAUUAGGACAAAUUUCACAAAAAUUCGAAAGAAAAAAAAAUACUCUUCAGUCAUGAACAUUUCAGUAAAUAACUUACAAACAAUUCUUGCAGUAAGAUUUUUUUGAAACAGCCCCUGCAAUUUUUGAAAACAGGGACAUAAAAUAGUGACUUAAAAAUGGUGUUAGCUGACAUGUUAAAACUUUAUGAUGUUACUACAAAAUGGUAAAAAAACUGGCAAAGCAAGUAAGUAUCAUACUUUUUUUUAAGCAGGGUGGUUAUACAGUCUAUUACUUCCAUAACUUCGAGGAGAGAUCAAAUAAUUUGAAACAAGAGUGCACACACUGAAAAGUCUUUCCUGCUUUACUCGUUAUUUUAGUGCAAUUUUGCCUCUGAUCCUUUUUGAGAGUUUCAAUCAUGUUUAAUACCAAGCUAGUCAUAAGACUUGAAACAAAAACAAUAUAUUUAGUAUUAUCUUUGUCAGUACUAUUUCACCAAUAUAAAAACUAAAAGUUACAUAAGAAAAAAAAAUCUUUAAAUCAAUCAUACGAAUAUAAAUUUUGAAUGUUUAACCAGAAGGAAUAAAUACAGCUGGAUACGACCACAGAGGUCCAACCCUGAACAGUUGGGGCAAAAAUGGACACAAUAUUCGCGCUUGAUACAUACAGGUCUGAAUUUGGAUUGUAAUUCAAUAUUUGACACAUAAUAGGUUUCUGACACAGAAUAACUGUAGUCAAAGAACUUAGAAUUGGUUAUAUGAUUUGAAUUUAUCCAAAAAAAAACUUCUUUCCUUCAGUUAUGGUCAUAAUUUCAAUUCAAAUUUCCAAUGGAGUUUGCAACCAUAAUAACCCAUUUAAAUACAUCAUAAAAGUCUUGAAAUAGAAAAUGACAUACAUAAUCAUAGCUAAAAUUAAUUUACCUUCAAUCAGCAAUUUUAACUUAUUAAAAUAGUAUAUUCUAAAAAUGAAUUGACAGCUAAUCACCUCAAAACAAUACAAAAAUUCUUUAUACAUAAUUUAACAGCAGUGUAAGGGAGGUAAUUCAAAAUUCUGCAGACGAUGACAACGUGAUACCAUUAUACGACCACAAAUGUUU